UACGGGGGGAGCAAGCGUUGUUCGGAUUUACUGGGCGUAAAGGGCGCGUAGGCGGCCUCCGCAAGUCAAUUGUGAAAUCUCCGAGCUUAACUCGGAAAGGUCAACUGAUACUGCGGGGCUAGAGUGCGGAAGGGGCAACUGGAAUUCUUGGUGUAGCGGUGAAAUGCGUAGAUAUCAAGAGGAACACCUGCGGCGAAGGCGGGUUGCUGGGCCGACACUGACGCUGAGGCGCGAAAGCGUGGGGAGCAAACAGG
rnacentral:rRNA from 1 species